UACAGAGGUCACGAACGUUGUCCGGAAUUAUUGGGCGUAAAGGGCGCGUAGGUGGUCAGGUAAGUCAGGUGUGAAAGCUCUGGGCUUAACCCAGGAAUUGCAUCUGAUACUGCUUGGCUUGAGUACGGUAGAGGAGGGUGGAAUUCCCAGUGUAGCGGUGAAAUGCGUAGAUAUCUGGAGGAACACCGGUGGCGAAGGCGGCAUCCUGGACCGACACUGACGCUGAGGAGCGAAAGCCAGGGGAGCAAACGGG
rnacentral:rRNA from 1 species